rnacentral:rRNA from 1 species
AGUGAACGCUGGCGGUAGGCCUAACACAUGCAAGUCGAACGGCAGCACAGUAAGAGCUUGCUCUUACGGGUGGCGAGUGGCGGACGGGUGAGGAAUACAUCGGAAUCUACUUUUUCGUGGGGGAUAACGUAGGGAAACUUACGCUAAUACCGCAUACGACCUACGGGUGAAAGCAGGGGAUCUUCGGACCUUGCGCGAUUGAAUGAGCCGAUGUCGGAUUAGCUAGUUGGCGGGGUAAAGGCCCACCAAGGCGACGAUCCGUAGCUGGUCUGAGAGGAUGAUCAGCCACACUGGAACUGAGACACGGUCCAGACUCCUACGGGAGGCAGCAGUGGGGAAUAUUGGACAAUGGGCGCAAGCCUGAUCCAGCCAUACCGCGUGGGUGAAGAAGGCCUGCGGGUUGUAAAGCCCUUUUGUUGGGAAAGAAAAGCAGCAGGUUAAUACCCCGCUGUUCGGACGGUACCCAAAGAAUAAGCACCGGCCAACUUCGG